GUAGUUCAACUGGAUAGAACGAGGCCCUCCUAAGGCUUAAAUCCUGGUUCGAGUCCAG
rnacentral:tRNA from 1 species